GAUGAACGCUGGCGGCGUGCUUAACACAUGCAAGUCGAACGGAAAGGCUCCUGCUUGCAGGGGUACUCGAGUGGCGAACGGGUGAGUAACACGUGGGUGAUCUGCCCUGCACUUCGGGAUAAGCCUGGGAAACUGGGUCUAAUACCGGAUAGGACCACAUUUUGGAUGGUGUGGUGGAAAGUUUUUCGGUGUGGGAUGAGCUCGCGGCCUAUCAGCUUGUUGGUGGGGUAAUGGCCUACCAAGGCGUCGACGGGUAGCCGGCCUGAGAGGGUGUACGGCCACAUUGGGCCUGAGGUGCGGCCCAGACUCCUACGGGAGGCAGCAGUGGGGAAUAUUGCACAAUGGGCGCAAGCCUGAUGCAGCGACGCCGCGUGGGGGAUGACGGCCUUCGGGUUGUAAACUCCUUUCGCUAGGGACGAAGCGCAAGUGACGGUACCUGGAGAAGAAGCACCGGCUAACUACGUG
rnacentral:rRNA from 1 species